AGAGUUUGAUCAUGGCUCAGGACGAACGCUGGCGGCGUGCUUAACACAUGCAAGUCGAGGAGAAUUAGAAUCUUCGGAAUCUAUAGUAAACUGGCGCACGGGUGCGUAACACGUAGGCAACCUACCCCCGAGUGGGGAAUAACAUCGCGAAAGUGGUGCUAAUACCGCAUGACAUUCAAUUGUCGCAUGGCAAUUGAAUUAAAGAUUUUUCGCUCGAGGAUGGGCCUGCGUCCUAUUAGCUUGUUGGUAGGGUAACGGCCUACCAAGGCUACGAUGGGUAGCUGGUCUGAGAGGAUGAUCAGCCACACUGGCACUGAGACACGGGCCAGACUCCUACGGGAGGCAGCAGUGAGGAAUAUUGGGCAAUGGGCGCAAGCCUGACCCAGCAACGCCGCGUGGGUGAUGAAGCACUGAGGUGCGUAAAGCCCUGUUAGGAGGGAAGAACGAUCCCACUUGUGGGAUGUGACGGUACCUCCAGAGAAAGCUCCGGCUAACUCCGUGCCAGCAGCCGCGGUAAUACGGGGGGAGCAAGCGUUGUCCGGAUUUACUGGGCGUAAAGAGAGUGUAGGCGGGACGAUUAGUCGAUGGUGAAAUCUUUCAGCUUAACUGGAAAAUUGCCACCGAUACUGUCGUUCUUGAGUUCGGAAGGGGGAAGCAGAAUUCCUGGUGUAGCGGUGAAAUGCGUAGAUAUCAGGAAGAAUACCGGUAGCGAAGGCGGCUUCCUGGUCCGACACUGACGCUGAGACUCGAAGGCGUGGGUAGCAAACAGGAUUAGAUACCCUAGUAGUCC
rnacentral:rRNA from 1 species